rnacentral:snRNA from 1 species
AUUGCUUUCUGCUCAUUUUAGCUAAGAGAGAAAGUACUUGUUCUCAUCAGUUUAGUAUCUGAUAGAUCCUCUCUAUGUCCUCGACUCAAGGACAAUAUAGUAAAUGGAUUUCUUUUUUAAUCAGGGAGUUGGUAUAGGAGCUUAUUCUGUCUGUUCCACACAUUGACUUGGAAUUUCAAUACCCACCCCCAGAAAUGGUGCACCAGAG